rnacentral:lncRNA from 1 species
CUCUUGUCUUAUGAAAAUAGCUUACAUGCUCAAUGUCAACAGGCCAAUGCUAUUGUCUUCUUAUGAGAAAUAUAUAUAUUCGUUUUAAGGCCCAAAUACUAAUUGUCACUCAUUUAAUAGUUAUCUCUACAAGUCUUCAUGUAUUUGUUUUAAAGGUCCGGUAAAAGCAGCAAGUUUAAAAAUAAAAAAAAACAUAUAACCAACAUAAUAAGAAUAAAAAAAAAUUAUUACUUAAUACACACAACUUACACAACUAAACUGGAGAAAAAAUAUCCAGAAACAAAAUGUACUCUCAACAUCCUUAAUAUAAUUUAUGUAAUCUCAACAAUACAAGUAACAAAUUAAAAAGACAAACAAACAAUAAGUUUCAGUGACACAACAAACAAUACUACGAACUAUAUCAAUCACACUACUAACAUAGUUUAGUUCUUCAUGAGUGGAGAACAGUGCAUACACAGUUCAUCAUCACAACUCUAACCCUAUAACAAUAAAAGACUUGAAAAACAAUGAUCAACCCAAAACGCAAAAUUCACAGCUACAAUAACCCUAACAAAUAUUGAGAUGAAAUAAGAACUCUAUCCACAACUCUGCGUUUGCGCGGAGGCAAUGCCCCUAGUAGAAAAAAAUGAACGAAUGGAGAAUGCAUAAAUUUACAUGAAGUCCAGAUUGGAUUCUACGCUCAUGCUGGUGGCUCUUCUUUUACAUAUUCGUCCUUGUGCCUUUCUUUCAAGGUCUAUUAUAUUGUUUUAUCGUAACGGAAACUAAUUUUGUGAGAAACCUAAAACAUACAUACCAUAGUAGACACUAUAAUGCACGUAUUA